UACGUAGGGUGCAAGCGUUGUCCGGAAUUAUUGGGCGUAAAGAGCUCGUAGGCGGUCUGUCGCGUCGGCUGUGAAAACCCGGAGCUCAACUCCGGGCCUGCAGUCGAUACGGGCAGACUGGAGUUCGGCAGGGGAGACUGGAAUUCCUGGUGUAGCGGUGAAAUGCGCAGAUAUCAGGAGGAACACCAGUGGCGAAGGCGACUCACUGGCCCGAUACUGACGCUGAGGCGCGAAAGCGUGGGGAGCAAACAGG
rnacentral:rRNA from 1 species